CAACAAACAUGACAGCACCUGUUCAGCCCCUUAUUGCCCCUGCACUCCCCAGCUAGCCCCAGCCAGCAAAGGGUCGCAGAAUGAACACGUGCUCCAUUCUCCAGAGCACUGGAAGUUGCUUUUCAGCUGACAUUUCCCUGAAGCAAAUCCCAGUGCAGCCGUUCAGGCUGCGGGGAUCUUUUCAAGAGCCUUUCAGGAGCCGGGGCCUUGCCCGAGGGCACUGAGUGCUGAGAGCCCUGGGCACCACCAGGACCUGCGUUGGACCUUGGGCAGGGCACAGCCUGAGGGCCCCAGCUCACAGCAUCUUUGCAAGCAGAGCUGCUGCAUUCACUCAGUCCUACUGCCCUGGAGAAAUGUGUUACUGGGAUGUUGGGGAUGACUGGAAAGUUUACAGCACUUCAUUUCUACUGGCUUGUGCAACAAGAGCUGUCCUUGCCUCAGCCAGCACAGAUGGAAGGAGCUCCCUCUCUGCAAUGCGUGACAAGACACCAUCUGAGGACGGCAGGGCGUAGUAAUAGCUGGAAACAAUGAAAACAGCCCACUGCUAAUAAUCAUUCCACAUGCAAGCUAUGAGAAAUGAAAUAGGUUUGGGACACUGUAGAUUAAUAUUUGUUGUCUGAAAACACCUUGUGCAUUAUAAAUCUUUUGUACUUUUAUUUCAAGGGUCACUUUUUUGUUUUAAAAAAUUCACAGCUACCAACCAAUGUUGAGUAUAGUACUUCAGCAAAGAAACUUCAAGCACUGCAACACGUUUAGCUAAAAAACAUCCUGAUGUAUCUGAGUGCAUUUAUUAGCCUUGGGGCUAAGAAGAACUUUCGGCAGAAUGAAACUAAGUGUAAAUUGAAACAUUCUAUACGCUCAGGAUGCUGACGAUCAUUAACACUAAAAUAAACAAACGAAAAUAUUUCUAGGCUUUUGAGAUCAUUUUUUCAAAUCAAUAAAAAAAUAUAGCUGAUAUCAUUUCAAAGCAUUUAAUAAAACUGCAAAUGUUCAGUAUAUUUUAAGAGCUUUAGCUAAAGAAAAUUCAUGAGUGCAAAGUCUGAUGCUGGGGAAAAAAAAAAGUUUCUAACGGGGAAGACAGCAGCAAUGCUUCAGCAAAUGUAGAAGCAUCUAUCCAAACUGAAAUCAUAAUGAAUGAGGAAACACAUUAUACAUAAACAUCUGAAAGAUAAAAGUAUGAUCCAUAAAGCAUACGCCAUCAAUAGCCAUAAACCCAACUAAUAAUUGCACCACAUCCAUCACGUUCAGAGAAAGGUAAAAUACAGACUCUGAGGCAGAGGACAAUAUGUUCCUGCUCACAAGUUAAAAUGGCUCCAUGCCUGCAGCAUGUACUGCAGGCCA
rnacentral:lncRNA from 1 species